rnacentral:rRNA from 1 species
UACAGAGGGGUGCGAGCGUUAAUCGGAUUUACUGGGCGUAAAGCGUGCGUAGGUGGUCUUUUAAGUCGGAUGUGAAAUCCCUGAGCUUAACUUAGGAAUUGCAUUCGAUACUGGGAGACUAGAGUAUGGGAGAGGAUGGUAGAAUUCCAGGUGUAGCGGUGAAAUGCGUAGAGAUCUGGAGGAAUACCGAUGGCGAAGGCAGCCAUCUGGCCUAAUACUGACACUGAGGUACGAAAGCAUGGGGAGCAAACAGG